rnacentral:sRNA from 1 species
AAAUAAACCCGAUAGAAUGAAAAUACUUUUUGUUGCAGUCUGCAACAAACUCAGACUGACGACAACAAAAAGAUUGAAGUGAAAGCGGGACUACAA